GUAUUUCCGCCGGCGCGAAACGAGCGUAGCUUCCUUGUCGUGUGGCCUCAGUCCUUCGCCGUCCCUCGCCGUCCUUCGCCAUCGCACGCCACCGCACCCCAUCUCUCGAAAUCUGCAGACAUCUUGAUUUUUCCCACGCUGUCUGUCAGGUCUCCGCCGCCACUCGACGCCAGGGCGCCGGGUGAGUCCACAGCAGGGCGCAUGGUCGGCUCCACUCUCACCAUCGGGGGAAACUGAGGCCCCGGGGAAGGCGGCCAGAGAGGUCAGGCCCUGUCCUUGGUGCAGUGUCUCGUCCUCUUUGCCGGAGUGAGCCCCCCAGGAUUCGCGUGUCCUCGGGAAAGACACUGGCGGGCCUUGUGGGCUGUGCUGCACCUCGGACGGCUUCGCACCAGCCAGCGCCCUCUCUCUCCUGCAGCACUCUGAUCUGCACCCCCUGAGGGGCUUCCACUGUCCGCGGGGUGAGAAUGCCCCUGGGAGUGUCACAUGACUGCCGCCCCAUGUGUGUGAGAGGCGUCCUCUGGGAGAGCAUGGAUCCUGAGGUCCCAGGAUUGUCAGCUGACCUCUGUCCUGUGUGCCCAGUGGCCCCAGGUGACGUGUCUUCAAGAAGAGGCUGAGCUGCGGUGCUUGUAAGGGUCUCAUUCUGUCACCCAGGCUGGAGUGCAGUGGUGCAAUGAUGGCUCACUGCAGCCUCGACCUGGGCUCAAGUGAUCCUCCACCUCAGCUUCCUGAGUAGCUGGGACCACAGAGUCAUGUGCUGUUCCUGGGGCUUGGAUGAUGUAGGGGAAGCAAGGUGAAAGUGGUAUCCCGUGGUUCCACGUUCUGUCCUGCUGUGGGGCUGUCCCUCACAUGCUUUCAGUGGCUGUUGCAGAGGAAGAGCCUCCGGAAAUCUGCGUGGGUCUCAGCCUUAGAUCCAAGGACAGUCCAAGGAAGUCCUAAGACCAUGGAGUUGGUGAUCUAGGAUCUGGGUUUGCUGAUAUUUCUCACCGUGAAUCUCUUGGUGGUGUUUGUGGGCACGAGAGGGGCAGAGAAUGGAGAGUGAGGCUACCACAUGAAGCGUCACCAGAGCUGCUCCCUGCUGCCUGCUCAGAGCACCCCGGAUCCACUGUUCAAUCUGCACAAGAUUCGGGGUCCAGACAUGGGAGACUUCAGCUGCCUCAGAGGACCGUGGACAGGGAAGGCCAGCCUCGCAUCCCUCUGUCCAUGCCUGGAAUGACUUUAAUAACCAAGAGUUUUAUUUUUGAAUUUGUAGCUGUCGUUCACUUUUUACCCACCCAUUCAAUAAACCUUACAGAAUUGCUCCA
rnacentral:sRNA from 1 species